rnacentral:rRNA from 1 species
GACGAACGCUGGCGGCGUGCUUAACACAUGCAAGUCGAGCGGUAAGGCCCUUUCGGGGGUACACGAGCGGCGAACGGGUGAGUAACACGUGGGUGACCUGCCCUCAGCUCUGGGAUAAGCCUGGGAAACCGGGUCUAAUACUGGAUAUGACUCCAUGACGCAUGUUGUGGGGUGGAAAGCCUUGUGCGGCUGAGGAUGGGCCCGCUGCCUAAUCAGCUUGUUGGUGGGGUGAUGGCCUACCAAGGCGACGACGGGUAGCCGGCCUGAGAGGGCGACCGGCCACACUGGGACUGAGACACGGCCCAGACUCCUACGGGAGGCAGCAGUGGGGAAUCUUGCGCAAUGGGCGAAAGCCUGACGCAGCGACGCCGCGUGAGGGAUGACGGCCU